rnacentral:rRNA from 4 species
AGACCCGAAACCCGGUGAUCUAGCCAUGGGCAGGUUGAAGGUUGGGUAACACUAACUGGAGGACCGAACCGACUAAUGUUGAAAAAUUAGCGGAUGACCUGUGGCUGGGGGUGAAAGGCCAAUCAAACCGGGAGAUAGCUGGUUCUCCCCGAAAGCUAUUUAGGUAGCGCCUCGUGAAUUCAUCUCCGGGGGUAGAGCACUGUUUCGGCUAGGGGGCCAUCCCGGCUUACCAACCCGAUGCAAACUGCGAAUACCGGAGAAUGUUAUCACGGGAGACACACGGCGGGUGCUAACGUCCGUCGUGAAGAGGGAAACAACCCAGACCGCCAGCUAAGGUCCCAAAGUCAUGGUUAAGUGGGAAACGAUGUGGGAAGGCCCAGACAGCCAGGAUGUUGGCUUAGAAGCAGCCAUCAUUUAAAGAAAGCGUAAUAGCUCACUGGUCGAGUCGGCCUGCGCGGAAGAUGUAACGGGGCUAAACCAUGCACCGAAGCUGCGGCAGCGACACUAUGUGUUGUUGGGUAGGGGAGCGUUCUGUAAGCCUGUGAAGGUGGCCUGUGAGGGUUGCUGGAGGUAUCAGAAGUGCGAAUGCUGACAUAAGUAACGAUAAAGCGGGUGAAAAGCCCGCUCGCCGGAAGACCAAGGGUUCCUGUCCAACGUUAAUCGGGGCAGGGUGAGUCGACCCCUAAGGCGAGGCCGAAAGGCGUAGUCGAUGGGAAACGGGUUAAUAUUCCCGUACUUGGUGUUACUGCGAAGGGGGGACGGAGAAGGCUAUGUUGGCCGGGCGACGGUUGUCCCGGUUUAAGCGUGUAGGUGUGUGUUCCAGGUAAAUCCGGUU